GGCGGUUUGUCGCGUCUGCCGUGAAAGUCCNGGGGCUCAACUCCGGAUCUGCGGUGGGUACGGGCAGACUAGAGUGAUGUAGGGGAGACUGGAAUUCCUGGUGUAGCGGUGAAAUGCGCAGAUAUCAGGAGGAACACCGAUGGCGAAGGCAGGUCUCUGGGCAUUAACUGACGCUGAGGAGCGAAAGCAUGGGGAGCGAACAGGAUUAGAUACCCUGGUAGUCCAUGCCGUAAACGUUGGGCACUAGGUGUGGGGGACAUUCCACGUUUUCCGCGCCGUAGCUAACGCAUUAAGUGCCCCGCCUGGGGAGUACGGCCGCAAGGCUAAAACUCAAAGGAAUUGACGGGGGCCCGCACAAGCGGCGGAGCAUGCGGAUUAAUUCGAUGCAACGCGAAGAACCUUACCAAGGCUUGACAUGGACCGGACCGCCGCAGAAAUGUGGUUUCCCCUUUGGGGCUGGUUUACAGGUGGUGCAUGGUUGUCGUCAGCUCGUGUCGUGAGAUGUUGGGUUAAGUCCCGCAACGAGCGCAACCCUCGUUCUAUGUUGCCAGCACGUGAUGGUGGGGACUCAUAGGAGACUGCCGGGGUCAACUCGGAGGAAGGUGGGGACGACGUCAAAUCAUCAUGCCCCUUAUGUCUUGGGCUUCACGCAUGCUACAAUGGCCGGUACAAAGGGUUGCGAUACUGUGAGGUGGAGCUAAUCCCAAAAAGCCGGUCUCAGUUCGGAUUGGGGUCUGCAACUCGACCCCAUGAAGUCGGAGUCGCUAGUAAUCGCAGAUCAGCAACGCUGCGGUGAAUACGUUCCCGGGCCUUGUACACAC
rnacentral:rRNA from 1 species